rnacentral:rRNA from 1 species
CACGUAGGGCGCAAGCGUUGUCCGGAAUUAUUGGGCGUAAAGAGCUCGUAGGCGGUCUGUUGCGUCCGCUGUGAAAACUCGGGGCUUAACCCCGAGCCUGCGGUGGAUACGGGCAGACUAGAGGUAGGUAGGGGAGAAUGGAAUUCCCGGUGUAGCGGUGAAAUGCGCAGAUAUCGGGAGGAACACCGGUGGCGAAGGCGGGUCUCUGGGCCGAUACUGACGCUGAGGAGCGAAAGCGUGGGGAGCGAACAGG